rnacentral:rRNA from 1 species
AUUGAACGCUGGCGGCAGGCUUAACACAUGCAAGUCGAGCGGGGUGAUGGUGCUUGCACUAUCACUCAGCGGCGGACGGGUGAGUAAUGCUUAGGAAUCUGCCUAUUAGUGGGGGACAACAUCUCGAAAGGGAUGCUAAUACCGCCUACGUCCUACGGGAGAAAGCAGGGGAUCACUUGUGACCUUGAGCUAAUAGAUGAGCCUAAGUCGGAUUAGCUAGUUGGUGGGGUAAAGGCCUACCAAGGCGACGAUCUGUAGCGGGUCUGAGAGGAUGAUCCGCCACACUGGGACUGAGACACGGCCCAGACUCCUACGGGAGGCAGCAGUGGGGAAUAUUGGACAAUGGGGGGAACCCUGAUCCAGCCAUGCCGCGUGUGUGAAGAAGGCCUUAUGGUUGUAAAGCACUUUAAGCGAGGAGGAGGCUCUUUUGGUUAAUACCCAAGAUGAGUGGACGUUACUCGCAGAAUAAGCACCGGCUAACUCUGUGCCAGCCGCCGCCGUAA